rnacentral:tRNA from 1 species
GGGUCGGCUCGCCUAUUGGCGCGGGCAGCUGUCUGUAAAACAGUCCAUUCAGGUUGUGAGUUCAAUUCUCACCCGACCCA